rnacentral:rRNA from 1 species
AGCGAACGCUGGCGGCAGGCCUAACACAUGCAAGUCGAGCGCCGUAGCAAUACGGAGCGGCAGACGGGAGAGUAACACGUGGGAACGUGCCCUUUGGUUCGGAAUAACUCAGGGAAACUUGAGCUAAUACCGGAUAAGCCCUUACGGGGAAAGAUUUAUUGCCAUUGGAGCGGCCCGCGUCGGAUUAGCUAGUUGGUGAGGUAAUGGCUCACCAAGGCGACGAUCCGUAGCUGGUCUGAGAGGAUGACCAGCCGCGCUGGGACUGAGAAACGGCCCAGACUCCUACGGGAGGCAGCAGUGGGGAAUAUUGGACAAUGGGCGCAAGCCUGAUCCAGCCAUGCCGCGUGGAUGAUGAAGGCCCUAGGGUUGUAAAGUCCUUUUAACGGGGAAGAUAAUGACGGUACCCGUAGAAUAAGCCCCGGCUAACUUCGUGCCAGCCGCCGCCGUAAGAC